rnacentral:rRNA from 1 species
AGGACGAACGCUGGCGGCGUGCUUAACACAUGCAAGUCGAACGGAGUUCCUUGGAUAGAGGCUUCGGCCAAUUGAAUUGGAACUUAGUGGCGGACUGGUGAGUAACGCGUGAGGAACCUGCCUUUCAGAGGGGGACAACAGUUGGAAACGACUGCUAAUACCGCAUGACACAUUCGGAUGGCAUCACCUGAAUGUCAAAGAUUUUAUCGCUGAAAGAUGGCCUCGCGUCUGAUUAGCUAGUUGGUGGGGUAACGGCCCACCAAGGCGACGAUCAGUAGCCGGACUGAGAGGUUGACCGGCCACAUUGGGACUGAGAUACGGCCCAGACUCCUACGGGAGGCAGCAGUGGGGAAUAUUGGUCAAUGGACGCAAGUCUGACCCAGCAACGCCGCGUGAAGGAAGAAGGCUUUCGGGUUGUAAACUUCUUUUAAGUGGGAAGAGCAGAAGACGGUACCACUUGAAUAAGCCACGGCUAACUACGUG